rnacentral:rRNA from 1 species
AGAGUUUGAUCCUGGCUCAGGACGAACGCUGGCGGCAUGCCUAAUACAUGCAAGUCGAACGCCGAAGCACUCUGCUUGCAGAGUGCGGAUGAGUGGCGAACGGGUGAGUAACACGUGGGAAAUCUGCCUAGGAGUGGGGGAUAACAUUCGGAAACGGAUGCUAAUACCGCAUAUCUUCAUAGACCGCAUGGUCUAUGAAUGAAAGACGGCUUUGCUGUCGCUCUUAGAUGAUCCCGCGGCGUAUUAGUUAGUUGGUGGGGUAAAGGCCUACCAAGACAAUGAUACGUAGCCGACCUGAGAGGGUGAUCGGCCACACUGGGACUGAGACACGGCCCACACUCCCACGGGAGGCAGCAGUAGGGAAUCUUCCACAAUGGGUGCAAACCUGAUGGAGCAAUGCCGCGUGAAUGAAGAAGGUCUUCGGAUCGUAAAGUUCUGUUAUUAGUGAAGAACAAAUCGAGGAGUAACUGUCUCGAUUUUGACGGUAACUAACCAGAAAGUCACGGCUAACUACGUGCCAGCAGCCGCGGUAAUACGUAGGUGACAAGCGUUGUCCGGAAUUAUUGGGCGUAAAGGGAGCGCAGGCGGUUGGAAUAGUCUGAUGUGAAAGCCCACGGCUUAACCGUGGAAGGUCAUUGGAAACUGUCCAACUUGAAUGCAGAAGAGGUAAGUGGAAUUCCAUGUGUAGCGGUGAAAUGCGUAAAUAUAUGGAGGAACCCCGGUGGCGAAGGCGACUUACUGGUCUGUGUUUGACGCUGAAGGCUCGAAGCGUGGGGAACGAAAAGAAUUAAACACCCUUGUAACCCCCCCCCAUAAAAGAAGGAGGGCUAAAGUGUGGGAGGGGUUUUCCCCCCUUU